AGUGAACGCUGGCGGUAGGCCUAACACAUGCAAGUCGAACGGCAGCACAGUAAGAGCUUGCUCUUACGGGUGGCGAGUGGCGGACGGGUGAGGAAUACAUCGGAAUCUACUUUUUCGUGGGGGAUAACGUAGGGAAACUUACGCUAAUACCGCAUACGACCUACGGGUGAAAGCAGGGGAUCUUCGGACCUUGCGCGAUUGAAUGAGCCGAUGUCGGAUUAGCUAGUUGGCGGGGUAAAGGCCCACCAAGGCGACGAUCCGUAGCUGGUCUGAGAGGAUGAUCAGGCACACUGGAACUGAGACACGGUCCAGACUCCUACGGGAGGCAGCAGUGGGGAAUAUUGGACAAUGGGCGCAAGCCUGAUCCAGCCAUACCGCGUGGGUGAAGAAGGCCUUCGGGUUGUAAAGCCCUUUUGUUGGGAAAGAAAAGCAGCAGGUUAAUACCCCGCUGUUCUGACGGUACCCAAAGAACAAGCACCGGCUAACUUCGUG
rnacentral:rRNA from 1 species